AAGAUGCUCAAUGAAACCCCCAUGUCCUCGAAGGGAGUGGUUUGACUACCGCUCCCGUAGACGGCACGGGGAG
rnacentral:ncRNA from 15 species